AUCUAAAUAGUUUAAUGUAAAAAUAUUGAUUUGUGGUAUCAAAGUUAUAAAUUUAUUUUAGAUU
rnacentral:tRNA from 1 species